CCAUGCUGUAAACGUUGUCUACUAGCCGUUGGGGGACAUGAUUCCUUAGUGGCGCAGCUAACGCGAUAAGUAGACCGCCUGGGGAGUACGGUCGCAAGACUAAAACUCAAAUGAAUUGACGGGGGCCCGCACAAGCGGUGGAGCAUGUGGUUUAAUUCGAUGCAACGCGAAGAACCUUACCAGGGCUUGACAUAUAUUUGAAUAAUAUAGAGAUAUAUUAGUCUUCGGACAAAUAUACAGGUGGUGCAUGGUUGU
rnacentral:rRNA from 1 species